CAUUAUCUUGUCCAAUGAAAAUUAAAAUCUUUCUGAAAGUUAAAAUUUUGCCAGACGAAAAGAGUCAGCAAAUCAAAUUUGAUGAGUUAUCUUUCAAUCAUCUGGUCCGAUGCUUUUGAAAGAUGCAUUUUUUAGAUAAAUAUGAAAAUCUCGCUCCAAGAUUGAAUUUUCGGAGCAGAAUGACACCGAAAGGAAUUGCAAUCGAUUUUGAAGGUACUAUUUCAAAAAGCUUGUCUUCUGCUGUUCGAUCAAAAUAUGUCGUAUAGAUAACAACAAACGUAUUUAAAACGGUAGGUUCGCAGCUAGUUUUUAUUAUGUUCAAUAACAAAAAGCUUACCAAUAGCCAAAAAAGAAAAAUUAAAAAUAUAUUUCUAUCAAUUAUAAA